CCCUUGCUCGUCUCACUUUUUGCUAAUGGAAUUCCAGUGGCCGUGUGUCUCUGCGUGUGUGUCUCUCCCUCUGCUCGCCCUCCUCUCCUCUCCGCGGCUCUCGCUCUUUGCUCUCGCUCUCGCCAGCUCUCCCUCGCUCUCCUCACUCCCUCCCCCCCUUCCUCUCUCCCUGCUCCUCCCUCCGCCCGCCCCCUUCCCCCUUCGCGGCUCCCUCGCCGCGGCUCUCGCGCCCGCGCCCCUCUCCGCCCGGGGCUCGGCGCUCCGGCUCCCAGGCGGCUGGCGGCGCGGGGAGCGGGAGCGCGGCGGAGCAGCGACGCUCUGCAGCGGCGGCGGCGACACGGCGGUGGCGGUGGCGCUGGGGAACGCUGGCCGAGAGGAGAGCUCCGCCGCUGGCUCCCUCUGCUCUGCCGCCUGCCCUUCCCCGCACUGACCUGCUGCCUUGGCCGGAAGCUGACCGGCUCCCCGCCGCUACGGCUCAAACCCACCGAGGCCUCGGCACCCUCCUCCUCCCCCGGCAGCGCGCCCCCCGCCGCCCUCCCCCGCCGCGGGCGGGCUGCACCCUCCAACCCCCACCGCCCCUGCCCUUGGCCCCGGCUCCCGGAGGCCUGGGGAGGCUCAGCUAAGGCCCGAGGGCGUGGAGUCCAGGGCGCCCGAGCCAUCCCGGGGGCGUGGGGAGGACGGGCACUAGAAAAACCCCGACUUAAUGGCCCGAGUCUGGCGAGGGGGCUCCACCCUCCGCGGGCGGAUUCGUCCUUGGCCAGGGAGCCGAAGCAGAGCGUCUCCCCGAAGGCGCAAGAGAAGAGAAGGACCCCCUACAGCGCCAGCCUCCAGCGUCCCCGCGCAGCCUGCCCGCCCAGGUCUGUCCCCGCGCAGGCAUACACGUGUGCUCUCCACGCGGAGCCCGAGAACUUUCCCCUAACGCCCCAGCGUCGCAGCCCUUCGAGACUCUCCUUCCCUAUUCGUCUCCCCUCCCCCAGCGCAGGAAAAAGGCUACGGUUCCGGAGCGCCCUGACCGCCUCCUCCCGGGCCGGCGAACCUGCUGGAACCCCGCUGGAGAGAUCAGGCGGGGGUUCGCACCCCACCCCAGCGAGAGCGCCCCGAAACCGACCCGGGCCAGGGCUCUGCUGGGGCUAG
rnacentral:lncRNA from 1 species